CAGGUCCAACAGAGGUGGGCUUCCACAACUUGGAUCAGGUCGUGGCGGCGCUAGUAAUGGUGGAUUGCGAUGCAGUAUGCCUAAUUAAACUACAUGGAUGUUAGAAACAGCAAACAGCUAUCUUAAUAAAUUUAUUGACAUUCUUAAAUACAAAGGGACAAAUAAGUUUUACUAUAUUUACAUAUAAAUUAUAAAUUGCUUACAUUUAGAUAUGUUAUUAUUAUCAUUGGUUACAAGUGCUCACAUGUAACUAUAUAUGUAUGUACCUUUAGUUAAUGAUUUAUGCUUGAACCGUUUCAAGUUAAGAAAUCUCUCAAAUACAAUAUCAAGUGAGGUAAGUGAAUACGAGUCACGCAGCAAAAAAUAAUAUGAGCCGCUUCAUGACAAAAGCAGCGUUUGCGGCCAGCAUGGAUCCAGACCAGCCUGCGCAGAUAGGAUCCAUGCUGUUCGCUUAUA